rnacentral:rRNA from 1 species
AUGUUUAUGCAAAUCGAACAUCAAAUCUGCUCGUUCACAAAACAUCUGUUUCAUAGAGAGUUGCCUUAUAAACCUCUGCUCUGGAAUUACAUAGAGAGUUACCUUGAACCUGAAUUGCGGCUUACAGUUACAAUAUGCGCGGCAAAAGUUAUUAAGAAAAUUGCGUUAUUUACUUGCUCGCACCAACUUAAACUGCCAGUUGCUGUAGCUAUUUUCAAAAAGGAAAGAAGAUGGCAAAAUAAUACAAAGUUCCAUCCUAUAACCAUAAGUAAACUCGGUCGUAAAUCAAAGAUAACUACUACAGGAGCUGAUCCACGCUUUCAUCCUCAUAUGUGA